GUGGCUGUAGUUCUGUUGGUUGCAUAGGAAAGCGCAGCUUUUCUAUGCCGUAGAGAGCGUCAGAUUGUGGUUCUGAAUGUCGUGGGUUCGAGUCCCAUCUGCCACC
rnacentral:tRNA from 1 species